AACGCACAUUGCGCCCCUUGGUAUUCCGGGGGGCAUGCCUGUUCGAGCGUCAUUUCAACCCUCAAGCUCUGCUUGGUAUUGGGCUCCGUCCUCAGGGACGCGCCUCAAAGACCUCGGCGGUGGCGUCUUGCCUCAAGCGUAGUAGAAAACACCUCGCUUUGGAGCGCAUGGCGUCGCCCGCCGGACGAACCUUUGAAUUUUUCUCAAGGUUGACCUCGGAUCAGGUAGGGAUACCCGCUGAACUUAA
rnacentral:misc_RNA from 1 species